GACGGAGGAUGCAAGCGUUAUCCGGAAUUAUUGGGCGCAAAGCGUCCGCAGGUGGCUGUUCAAGUCUGCUGUCAAAGCGCAGAGCUUAACUCUGUACAGGCGGUGGAAACUGAAGAGCUAGAGUAUGGUAGGGGUAGAGGGAAUUCCCGGUGUAGCGGUGAAAUGCGUAGAUAUCGGGAAGAACACCAGUGGCGAAAGCGCUCUACUGGGCCAUAACUGACACUGAGGGACGAAAGCUAGGGGAGCGAAAGGG
rnacentral:rRNA from 1 species